AAACCAUGGUAUGGACACUUGCACAACAUCAAAUUAAAGCACUCUCAUGCCUCAUAUAAUGACUCUCUUUCUAACUACCAAAAAUUUGUAAUAUCUAUACGAAGUUU
rnacentral:snoRNA from 1 species